rnacentral:rRNA from 1 species
UGAACGCUGGCGGCGUGCUUAACACAUGCAAGUCGAACGAGAAAGGGAUUGCUUGCAAUCCUGAGUAGAGUGGCGCACGGGUGAGUAACACGUAGAUAAUCUACCUUCAAGCCCGGGAUAACUAUUCGAAAGGAUGGCUAAUACCGGAUGAAGUGUUUUGACACAAGUUGAACCAUGAAAGAUUGCCUCUAUUUAUAAGCAAUUGUUUGGAGAUGAGUUUGCGGACCAUUAGUUAGUUGGUAGGGUAACGGCCUACCAAGACUACGAUGGUUAGCUGGUCUGAGAGGAUGAUCAGCCACACUGGAACUGGUACACGGUCCAGACUCCUACGGGAGGCAGCAGUGAGGAAUUUUGCGCAAUGGGGGGAACCCUGACGCAGCAACGCCGCGUGAGUGAAGAAGGCCUUUGGGUCGUAAAGCUCUGUCGACAGGGAAGAAGUUACAAUUAUCCAAUAGGUAGUUGUAUUGACGGUACCUGUAGAGGAAGCACCGGCUAACUCC